CCUACGGGUGGCAGCAGUGGGGAAUAUUGGACAAUGGGGGGAACCCUGAUCCAGCGACGCCGCGUGAGUGAAGAAGUAUUUCGGUAUGUAAAGCUCUAUCAGCAGGGAAGAAAGAAAUGACGGUACCUGACUAAGAAGCCCCGGCUAACUACGUGCCAGCAGCCGCGGUAAUACGUAGGGGGCAAGCGUUAUCCGGAUUUACUGGGUGUAAAGGGAGCGUAGACGGCGAUGCAAGUCUGAAGUGAAAGGCGGGGGCUCAACCCCCGGACUGCUUUGGAAACUGUAUGGCUUGAGUGCAGGAGAGGUAAGUGGAAUUCCUAGUGUAGCGGUGAAAUGCGUAGAUAUUAGGAGGAACACCAGUGGCGAAGGCGGCUUACUGGACUGUAACUGACGUUGAGGCUCGAAAGCGUGGGGAGCAAACAGGAUUAGAUACCCCAGUAGUC
rnacentral:rRNA from 1 species